AUGUUGGGGUAAAUUCCAAAUAUAUUAUCCGGACUCCGGAGUAACACGGACGUUGCGAAUUAGUAGCUGACACUCUCUCAACUUCUCAAUUUAGCGUUGAAUCCCUCUCAACCCUGACACAUUCUGUCUCAUCCAAGAGAGGUUUGAUAUGAGCUAGUUUGUAGUCAUGGUCACCGAAGAGCCUAAAGACCCGUUGAGACGGGUGAACUGGAAAGCUGUUGGUAUUGAUAUGCAGAAGAGCCCCUGUGGUAAAUCAGGCAUAAUGAAACGGCUUCCCAGAAAGAUUAGUCUGAAUCCAGAUUGCUAUUUUCUUCCUCCAAAGUUACUACCCUACAACAUUGCAUCCUUAGAAGCAUGUAUUGCUGUUGGAUAUAUGUAAUCAAGAAAAUUAGAGUAUGGAGGCAUAAUAUGGAUUUUGACAAAUAACGCUUGGAGGAGUUUGUAAAGAUGGCAUUAUUAAUAUCCCCUCAUCUCUGGCCCCUUUUCUCUAGCAGAAGUUUCUUCAUGAGAGAUUUCUGUUCAUUCUCCAUUCUCCCCUUAAGUUGACAUGGAGGAUGCCUAAUUUCCUCAAUCCAACCCUCAAAAUGUUUCUUUGUGCAACCAUCAAGCAGUAUCUUAUGCAAGCAGUACGCCUGGGCUUUGGCCCUCUAUUCAACCAAAGAAAAUGUGAAAAGUAUAUCUAGCACAUUUUGGCUUAAACUAACGAGAAGGUAUCUUGUUCUUUGAGUAGAAAAUGUGUACCAUCUGAAAUUUAGAGGAAAAACCUUACAAUUUGCUGGAGUGGUCAGGUGACUGGAAAUUAUUGCUUAUGGUUAAUCACUUGAACUCGGUUACUGAGGGAAAAAGUGGUUUAAUUAUGAUUUUUUAUGUAAUGAAAUCAUAGUCAUAAAGGCCAAUUUACAGUAUUAGUCUUAUAAGGUGGCCUUCUAAAAUCUAAACACAUCUGGAUCAGAUGUAAGACUCACAUGGAUUGAGGGGAAGCACACACUUGGAAGGGUGUUCAGCAUGCAUGUAUACCAGGUAAUGCUCCGGUUCAUCUGUAGAAGAUUGUUCACAACAUAUUACCUGCGAUUGAUCGUCUUUUAUCAAGGCAUGUCCAGAUAGAAGAUGCUACUUGCGUGUUUUGUGCUAGUGCAAUGAAUCAACAGACCACUACAGUUGACGAUGUCCUUUCACGACAACAGUCCUGGAAUCCGAUGAAGAGUUGUGUACCAUUUGGUUUACACCAACACUGAUUGACUUAAUCCUUCAUGAGUGGUUAUGUCAUUGCAAAGUUAUGCAUCUUCCCAAGCUUGGAAUACUCUUUUUUGCUCUUUACAGAGUGUUUGGAAGGAGAGAAACAAUAGAGUAUGGGAAAUUUCAUCUCUGAGAGCUGGUGAUGCUGUGUUUACGGUAAAUGCAAGACUCGCAGAGUAUCAAUUUUAUCAUAAGAAGCAAUCUGGUAAUAGAAGAAGCACGGUCAAGUGAAAACCACCACCUGCAGGGUGGUUGAAAAUCAACAUUAAUGGCGCGUUUGAUCUAGCAACUCAUACGGGGGGAAUUGGGUUCAUUGUUCUUGACUGUGAUGGAUCUUAUGUAGAAGGGAGAUCUUAACCGGUGAGUAAUGUCCAUUUUGCUGAACAUACAUAAACUUUAGCAGGCAAGGCAGCUCUCGAGUAUGCACAUGAAUACAACUUCAGUCCAGUUGGCACUGAAACAGACUAUGCUUCUUGCCAAUGCGUCGAAGCAAUCUGUCAUUCCCCAUACAUUGACAAUUGGAUGUGUGUAUGACGAGAAUGUAUUCGAACUCACCAUGGUCCUAGGUUCUCUUUUCUCUCAUCUGUAUCGUGAAGCCAAUGUUGUGGCUAGUAAGCAAGCUUUGGUUUGGGAGACUACUCCCUUUCAUUUGUUUCUGAUGUAAAUGUAAUCCAAUGCAAUAUCGUUUGAAGCCUAACAUUUUCCUUAAACAAAAUACACUGGUGCAUUCUAUUUGUAUUUU